rnacentral:rRNA from 1 species
CACGUAGGGGGCGAGCGUUGUCCGGAAUCAUUGGGCGUAAAGAGCUCGUAGGCGGCUUGCCAAGUCGGGGGUGAAAUCCGGCAGCUUAACUGUCGAAGUGCCUUCGAUACUGGCAAGCUCGAGGGAGGUAGGGGUCUGUGGAACUUCUGGUGGAGCGGUGAAAUGCGUAGAUAUCGGGAGGAACACCUGUGGCGAAAGCGGCUCACUGGACCACAACUGACGCUGAGGCGCGAAAGCUAGGGGAGCAAACAGG